AUGUGAAAUUCGUCUAUGUGAAGUAUGUGAGCCAUACCAGGGCUACAUGUGACAUGUGGUGUUAUGUUUUAUAAACAUAGCACAAUUUGUCCAUUUUUCUAUUGGAAAACAUUGGAUCGUUUCCUUUUUUCCUCAUCCCUUACAAACAGGACCAUCAAGGAUUUUUGUGUACAUUAAUCCUCACAUCUGUAUGUGAGUUUGUUGAGGGUGUAUUACCAGAAAUGGAAACGCUGGGUUGAAAAAAAUAGGCCUUUUAAUAGGUACAGCAAAACUGUUUUCCAAAGGGAUUCUGUAAAGUUAUAGUCCUACAAGCAGUGUCCAAAAGUUUUUUUCUUGGCUCUAGGAUUUCUUCGCAAAACAAAUUGCAUCCUCAAAGUUCUCUUGGAGGCUGUUGCAGUCAGGUUAGGUGAGCUAAGUGGGUGGAUGGUGGAUCCCACCAGAGUGGAGUAGCAGGAGAGGUGUGAGAUGCAAAUUUUGGUGUUAUUUUUAUUUUUGUUUUUUAGGGCCGCACUCACGGUAUAUAGAUGGUCCCAGGCUAGGGGUAUAAUCGGAGCUACAUCUGCCGGCCUACUCCACAGCCGAGGCAACACCAGAUCCGAGCCUCGUCUGCAACCUACACCACUGCUCAUGGCAACAUCAGAUCCUUAACCCACUGAGGCUAGGGAUCGAACCUGAAACCUCAUGGCUCCUCGUCGGAUUCGUUUCCACUGUGCAACAGGAACUCCUGGUGUUAAGGUAGCACCACCAAGAUUUGCUAUCAAAUUGGAUAAAGGGUGUGGGAAGAGGAGUCAAGCCGACCCCAAGGGUUCUGGCUUGAGCAGCUGGCAGGGUAGAGGUAUUGUUCUGGAGGGGCUUGUGCCCCUACCAGUUGCUGAGGAUUCCAGGAUGAGAGGCCUGGGGAAACAGGCUCUGGGAGGCUGUCUUCAGGAGCUGAGAUAGCAGGCCUGCUUAGAUGCUUGGAUGAAUUAUAGAGAGCUAUGGCAUCUGCCUGGUGGGCUGAAAGGACUGGUUACAUCUGAAGCUGCUCCCUUUCUAGAGCCUGGGGGGGUGAAGAUUCAGUGCUUUGGGAUAGGGGUCUUAUAACAUUGUCACCCACAUGGAGAGGCCGUGGGGCUCAAGCAUGCUAAGACUGGAAAGUGAUUUCCAUGACUGGAAUAAAAAAGAGUUCAUGGGACCAUCUUCACCACGGCUGUAGCUCAAUCUUAUGCCCUAAACCUGGGACUCCCAAAAGAAGAAGGUUCCAAACACCUAAGGCAGGACUUGGAACAUACAAGUCAGGCAAGAGAAUACAGGGACAAGAAAUGAAGCUGACCAUCUAACCAACGAUGUCAGGGAUGAAGGAAAGGUAGAUGAGGUUGAAAGGAUGAAAAUACAACCUAAGCUAAUGAGAAGCUUAAAAUUGUUCUGAAUUCCAGAGUUUGUUCCUUAUAGGUAAAAGGUUAGGUUUUUUGCUGUUUUAAAAUAUGCGGAAGUAAAAUAGGCCCUGAGUACGUGUCUCUAGGCAUGAAACUUCUUGAAACUAUUUGAGAUAACAAGAAAAGGGAGUUUCUAACUGCUUGUUUAGCUUCUGUAAAACUGCUUGCAAAAGAUAGAAGGAGAGGAGGUUAAUCUCUAAAGCAACCUCAAAUUGGUUGCGCCAUAAAGAUGUUGAAAUGUUGAUACACAUAUCUUGGUGACAACAUGUCUCCCCCACCCCGAAACAUGCGCAAAUGUGUAACUCCAAAACAAUUUAAAUUAAUUGGUCCACGAAGCGCGGGCUUUGUUGUGAACCCCAUAAAAGCUGUCCCGACUCCACACUCGGGGCCGCAGUCCUCUACCCCUGCGUGGUGUAUGACUGUGGGCCCCAGCGCGCUUGGAAUAAAAAUCCUCUUGCUGUUUGCAUCAAGACCGCUUCUCGUGAGUGAUUAAGGGGAGUCGCCUCUUCCGAGCCUGGAGGUUCUUUUUGCUGGUCUUACAAGGUAACUGACUAGACUACAUAAACUGAUGUCUAAGUUAGUUGGAAUAAUAUAUGGUUUACUAUGUGCUAGACAGUUUUAAGCAUUAGUUACAUAUACUUAAACCUAACAACUCUGUUUACAGAGUUACUCUCUGGAGUUCCCGUCAUGGCUCAGCAGUUAACGAAUCUGACUAGCAUCCAUAAGGACGUAGGUUCAAUCCCUGAUCUCACUCAGGGUUACAGAUCUAGGGCUGCGGUGAGCUGUGGUGUAGGUCACAGACACGGCUUGGAUCCUGUGUUGUUGUGGCUGUGGUGUAGGCCUGCAGCUACAGCUCUGAUUUGACCCCUAGCCUGGGAACCUCCAUAUGCUGCAGGUUGCAGAUGCGGCUUUCAUCAGGCUUGGACCCCUGGCCAGGCAACUUGCAUAUGCCUCAGGUGCGGCCUUAAAAGGCAAGCGAAACUCAAAUUGCAAUGUUAACUACAUGAAUAAAUUACACCGAAUAUAUUGUUUAGGGAUUCACUCAGAGUACAAAGAAAAAUCAGAGAAUAUAAGUCACAUUUCAGCUGGGUUGUUUCAGUGGGAGAAAAAGAAAAACUUAAUCAAAGGCAGGUCUGCUCCAGUUAUUGGUAAUGUUUUAAAGCUAGGCCCCUGGGUGUUAAGAAAAGACUUUGAAGCCUGUUACCUCCUUAUCUCUAUGACCUUAAGAAAAUUAACAUCCCUGAGCUUUCCCUGAGCAGGUAGAUAAUAUCUGCUUUGCAAGGUUUUAAGGAUUCAAUGAAGUGAAUGAAACAUAAAAAGUUUAGCACAGAUCAAAGCAAUAAAUACAUGGUGGCUGCUAAGAUUACACAGAUUAUAUAGCUACAGGGCAAGUGACCUUGUCCUGUAGGAGCACCAAAAAUAGGGCAAGGCAGAAAAAAAAAUAAAAAAUACAACUCUGGCAAAAUCGACUAAGGAAAACAAAAGUUGGAACCAAGCUGGAAAUGUUUCUCUGGGAAAGUAAACACAGAAGAUAAGCAGUUUUUUAAAGGUGAGUGAUUAAAGAGACUGCUAUUCAAAUGUCAGCUGGGACCAAUUUAUAGAGCAAAUGACACAAGUCACCUUCAAUGUCCAAUUCCUUGAACUGUGAAAUUCCAAUUUUAGAACCCCCUUUGUGAUAGUGACAAAAAGGAACACAGAGAUUUUCCCCAUUUUUUUAUUGGGGUGAAAUAAACAUAAAACUUACCAUUUUUACCACUUUAAGCAAACAAUUCACUGAUGAUACAUUCAUAACAUUGUGGAACUACCACCUUUCACCCCCAUGCAUUCUUUUCAUGCUGGGCAACUGAAACUCUAAACCCAUUAAUAACUGCUCAUUUUCUCCUCCUCAGCCCCUGGCAACCACCAGGAAUAGAAUUCUUUCAAAAUAUAUCUGAACAAUCUAUGUUUUCACCAAACUCAUCAAAAGCCAAAUGGAUAACUGUUGUAACAGUCUCAUAAAAACCUCAACUAUCAGGAUUUCCCUUGAGGCGCAGCAGGUCAAGGAUCUGGUGUUGUCACUGCAGUGGCUCUGGUGGUUGCUAUGGCCUAAGACCAAUCUAUUUUUCAUUUACUUUUAAAUAUUUUAUUGGAAUCCUUUUGCUAAAACCAAGUAAAGAAGUGAAGACCACCUAAUUGAUAUUUAAGGGUCCCCAAAUUUCUAGGCAGUUCGCCUGGCUCGGAAGAGUUGAUAGCUGCUCCCAUGUGUUAAUGCAGGAAAGAUGUGAAGCUCCCAAGAUCUGUCCAACACCAGAGAGGACAUCCUUUUGUGUCUGCAAAGUUCUGAAAUUUCACAAAAGCAACACCUGUUAGAAACAAGCAGCUGGCAUUAAAGCACGAAUCUCCCACAGAUAACAGGACAGAAAUAUCCAAUUAUUACGUUGUACAUCUGAAACUAGUUACAUACUAAUUUAACCUUAAGGAAAACUGGGGGUGGGAGGGAGUGGGGGUAAGGGAGUUGCCACAGGGUGGAAAGGAGCUUAGAGUGGAUCAGGUGGUUUCAAAGAUCCUCAGAGAAAUGCUCAGAGACUCUAGUCCAACCAGGUCAUCAUUACCACUCUGGGGCUCGACGAAAAACCAGCAACUAGAAAGAGACUUACCACAGAACCCAAGCUGAAGGCAUCUUCUCCACUUCUCACAGCCUGUUCAAGUGGCAGGAACCACUAUAUGGGCACCACAGCCAUCCUGUCAGCUCUUCAAGAGAAUUCCAAACCUUAGGCCUUCCAGAAUCUUUCCAGUCUAGCCCAGAUCUCUGAAAGGGACAGCCCCUGGCUGGGCUUCAAAGAUAAGGAGCUCUCGGGCUAGAAAAGAUGAACCAGGAAACUGAUGAGAAAGACAAGCAGAGAGUUACAGCCCUCCCAUUGGUCUUUCUCAGAAAUCCUAGUAUCCAGUUCCCCAAAUGAGUCAGAAAUUAAUUUUGACAUCAGGACCAGCAUCAGAGACUCUAGUCUGAGAAAUCAUCAUUCCCAAUUUGGGGAGACGUGGAUCAAGGGAAGCCACUGUGGCAAAAAAACUAGACUAUUCAAAGACAACAGUCCCAGUAUGCAAAUUAAACUGGAAAUUAAAAGUUCAGGGAGAAAAACAGCAGGAAAAAAAUUCAAAAUUGCAGAGAAAAGCUCCAACAAGGAAACCUAGCAUGUAGGGGAGUUUACAAUAGGAAAAGGCACGGGAAAAGCAGUUUUAGCAAGACCAGUUUGGAGAAUUAAAAAAAAAAGACAAUCUGUGAGACGCCGGAGAGUACCCGCACACAUAACACUCACCCUUAUUCAAAAAUAAGGAGUUCCCGCUCUUGCGCACUGUGUUAAAAAUACGACUGCAGCUGCUGGGGUCGCUGCGGAGGUGCGGGUUCCAUCCCCAGCCUGAUGCAGGUUAAAGGAUUCCGUGCUUCUGCGGCUGGGCUUCGAUCCUUGGCCCUGGACUUACGCGGCGAGUGCGGCCAUUUAAGAUGUGGACAUCUUACACUCCUAAUAGAAAAGUGAAAUACAAGAAUAAAUGAUCAAUAAGUGUUCAUGGACAUCAACUUUUCCCAGAGCUCAAAUACUAGGGAUCCUGGCCCAGGGGAUGGAGGUGAUCAGCGCGCUGCGGUGAUGGCGUCAGCGAGACACUCAGAAUCACCUGGGGUCAUCAUUACCUCCGUCCUCCCCCAGUGCGACCUCUGGCCACUGCAUUUCCCACAAUCCACUCACCCUCGUCGCGCUGCGGAUCUUCCUUCGAGCACCAGGGGCCUGGGAAGAAACAAGUGAGUCAGCAAAGACUCGGCGACUUUAGACGAGCCCCCCCUGACCCGGGCUGGGUCAGUUCCGAGCAGUAGCGUCAGAGCGACAUCAGAAACUCUAGUCUGUAAUGGGAGUUCAUCCUGCUCAGCCCUAGACUGUGAUCCCUUCACCGAACAGGGCCCCGAGGUACCUGCAUGUGCGCAGCUAAGCAAAUGUGCCGGGCGGCACCCUCCCCCGCCUUUGGGGACGGUUUCGCAGCAAAAGCCAGGCGAACUCCGCGACGGCCAUCCUCACCAGCCACGAGUUUACCGC
rnacentral:lncRNA from 1 species